AUUGAACGCUGGCGGCAUGCUUUGCACAUGCAAGUCGAACGGUAACAGGGUGCUUGCACCGCUGACGAGUGGCGAACGGGUGAGUAAUGCGUCGGAACGUGCCGAGUAGUGGGGGAUAACGCAGCGAAAGUUGUGCUAAUACCGCAUACGUACUGAGGUAGAAAGUGGGGGACCUUCGGGCCUCACGCUAUUAGAGCGGCCGACGUCUGAUUAGCUAGUAGGUGAGGUAAAGGCUCACCUAGGCGACGAUCAGUAGCGGGUCUGAGAGGAUGAUCCGCCACACUGGGACUGAGAAACGGCCCAGACUCCUACGGGAGGCAGCAGUGGGGAAUUUUGGACAAUGGGCGAAAGCCUGAUCCAGCCAUGCCGCGUGUCUGAAGAAGGCCUUCGGGUUGUAAAGGACUUUUGUCAGGGAGGAAAUCCCUAGUGCUAAUAACACUGGGGGAUGACAGUACCUGAAGAAUAAGCACCGGCUAACUACGUGCCAGCAGCCGCCGUAA
rnacentral:rRNA from 1 species